UAAAAGUUUUAUCUUGGCUUAUUGACUGAGUUAUAAUUUUAUUUAUAUACGUUUAUUGUUUAAUUAAAGUGUUUUAAAUUUUUGAUUAUUUAGUAGUAUGAGAUUUUAAAUUUUAAGGGUUCUUAGAUUUAGAAAUUUUAUUUAUUUUGAACAUAGUUUGUGCCAGCAGUAGCGGUUAUACAAACCAAGUUAUUCAGUUUUAUCGAGUUUAAUUAUAAGUUUUAUUAAGGAUUAAAAAUUGAAUUUUUAAGGUGAAAUUUAAAAUUCAAUUUUGUCUUUUAUUUUUAUUUGAUUUAGGAAAUUUUUUUUUAGACUAGGAUUAGAUACCCUAUUAUUAGAAAUGUUAUUUUUUGCUUGGAUUAUUAUCAGUUAUGUUCUAGAAAGUUAAAGGAUUUGGCGGUAUUUUAGUCUGUUCAGAGGAACCUGUUUUUUAAUUGAUAAUCCACGAUGAAUUUUACUUUUAUUUUAAAUUUGCAUAUCGUCGUUUGUAAAAAUUUUACUAGAAGAAUAAUUUUUUCUGUUUUUAAUUAAAUUUUAUUUCAGAUCAAGGUGUAGUUUAUGUAAAAGUUAAAAUGGGUUACAUUGAAUUUAUUUUUGGUAUUGUAAUUGAAAAUUUUAGUUAAAUUGGAUUUGACAGUAAAUUCUUUUUUAUUGGGUUUAGAUUUAGCUCUAAAAUAUGUACAUAUCGCCCGUCGCUUUCAUUUUAAUGUGAAAUAAGUCGUAACAAAGUAGACUUAUUGGAAAAUGAGUCUAGAAUGAU
rnacentral:ncRNA from 1 species